AACCAUGCCUGUUAUGUGCACACCCUCACCUGCUAUACUGACCCUGUCCUUCUAAUCUGCUAUACUGUCCCUAUAUCUCUAACCAGUUACACUGUCCCUGUCUGUCUAAACUGUUACACUGUCCCUAUCUGUCUAAACUGUUACACUGUCCCUAUCUGUCUAAACUGUUACACUGGCCCUGUCUCUCUAACCUGUUACACUGGCCCUGUCUAUCUGACCUGUUACACUGGCCCUGUCUCUCUAACCUGUUACACUGGCUCUGUCUCUCUAACCUGUUACACUGGCCCUGUCUCUCUAACCUGUUACACUGGCCCUGUCUCUCUAACCUGUUACACUGGCCCUGUCUAUCUGACCUGUUACACUGGCCCUGUCUAUCUAACCUGUUACACUGGCCCUGUCUCUCUAACCUGUUACACUGGCCCUGUCUAUCUAACCUGUUACACUGGCCCUGUCUAUCUAACCUGUUACACUGGCCCUGUCUAUCUGACCUGUUAUACUGGCCCUGUCUAUCUAACAUGUUACACUGGCCCUGUCUCUCUGAACUGCUGUACUGGCUCUGUUUGUCUAAACUGCUAUAUUGGCCCUUUCUCUCCAAACUGUUACACUGGUCUUGUCUGUCUAAACUGCUACGCUAACCCUGUUUUUCUAACCUGCUACACUGGCCUUUUCUCUCUAACCUGCUGCAUUGUCCCUGUCUCUCAUGCUCUGUCACCUGUAGAACCUGCCUGUCUCCUUUUCUUUAAAAUUCGCAUUGAUUAAAAUACGCUUCCCUUCACUACAAAAAAGUAGUUUCCCAAGUAUUCUGUAAGCUGUGUAAAUGCAGGUAUAUUCUGUAAGCUGUGUAAGGGCUGGUAUAUUCUGUAAGCUGUGUAAGGGCUGGUAUAUUCUGUAAGCUGUGUAAGGGCUGGUAUAUUCUGAAAGCGGUGUAAAGGCUGGUAUAUUCUGUAAACUGUGUAAAGGCUGGUAUAUUCUGAAAGCGGUGUAAAGGCUAGUAUAUUCUGUAAGCUGUGUAAAGGCUGGUAUAUUCUGAAAGCGGUGUAAAGGCUAGUAUAUUCUGUAGGUUGUGUAAAGGCUGGUAUAUUCUGAAAGCGGUGUAAAGGCUGGUAUAUUCUGUAGGUUGUGUAAAGGCUAGUAUAUUCUGUAAGCGGUGUAAAGGCUGGUAUAUCCUGUAAGCUGUGUAAAGGCUGGUAUAUUCUGAAAGCGGUGUAAAGGCUGGUAUAUUCUGUAAGCUGUGUAACGGUGGUAUAUUCUGUAAGCUGUGUAAAGGCUGGUAUAUUCUGUAAGCUGUGUAAAGGCUGGUAUAUUCUGUAGGUUGUGUAAAGGCUGGUAUAUUCUGUAGGUUGUGUAAAGGCUGGUAUAUUCUGAAAGCGGUGUAAAGGCUGGUAUAUUCUGAAAGCGGUGUAAAGGCUGGUAUAUUCUGUAGGUUGUGUAAAGGCUGGUAUAUUCUGUAAACUGUGUAAAGGCUGGUAUAUUCUGUAAGCUGUGUAAAGGCUGGUAUAUUCUGUAAGCUGUGUAAAGGCUGGUAUAUUCUGUAGGUUGUGUAACGGUGGUAUAUUCUGUAAGUUGUGUAAAGGCUGGUAUAUUCUGUAGGUUGUGUAAAGGUGGUAUAUUCUGAAAGCGGUGUAAAGGCUGGUAUAUUCUGUAA